CGGAAGCGCGGAUUAUGGUUGAUACUAUAAACUCCUCAAACCGAUGGCCCUAUUAGAUAAAGAACCAAUAUAAUUGGUGACUCAUAAUAACUUUACGGAUCACAUUAAAUGUGACAUAUCAUUCAAGUUUCUGACCUAUCAGCUUUAGACGGUAGGGUAAUGGCCUACCGUGGCAAUGACAGGUAACGGGGAAUUAGGGUUCGAUUCCGGAGAGGGAGCCUGAGAAACGGCUACCACAUCUAAGGAAGGCAGCAGGCGCGCAAAAUACCCAAUCCUAAUACAGGGAGGUAGUGACAAGAAAUAACAAUACAGGACUUUUUGGUUUUGUAAUUGCAAUGAGUUAAGUAUAAACCCCUUUACAAGUAUCAAAUGGAGGGCAAGUCUGGUGCCAGCAGCCGCGGUAAUUCCAGCUCCAAUAGCGUAUAUUAAAGUUGUUGCAGUUAAAAAGCUCGUAGUUGGAUUUCUGUUAAUCAUUUAUAUAAAAUAUUUUGAUGAAUAUUUAUAUAAUAUUAACAUAAUUCAUAUUACUAAAUAUUUUAGUAUAUGAAAUUUUACUUUGAGAAAAUUAGAGUGCUUAAAGCAGGCAUAUGCAUUGAAUACUCCAGCAUGGAAUAAUAUUAAAGAUUUUUAUCUUUCUUAUUGGUUCUAAGAUAAGAAUAAUGAUUAAUAGGGACAGUUGGGGGCAUUUGUAUUUAACAGUCAGAGGUGAAAUUCUUAGAUUUGUUAAAGACAAACUAAUGAGAAAGCAUUUGCCAAGGAUGUUUUCAUUAAUCAAGAACGAAAGUUAGGGGAUCGAAGACGAUCAGAUACCGUCGUAGUCCCGAGGGUGGCGGGGUGUUGAUAGUCCCCCCCCCCUAGCGCCUCCG
rnacentral:rRNA from 1 species